rnacentral:rRNA from 1 species
CUCGUGUCGUGAGAUGUUCGGUUAAGUCCGCUAACGAGCGCAACCCUCGCUGUGUGUUACAAGUGUCACACGGAACUGCCGGUCAUAAACCGGAGGAAGGUGGGAUGACGUCAAGUCAGCAUGGCCUUUAUAUCCUGGGCUACACACACGCUACAAUGGGAAGGGACAAUAGGUUGCGAAGCCGCGAGGCGGAGCCAAUCCAGCAAAACUUCCCUCAGUUCAGAUUGCAGGCUGCAACUCGCCUGCAUGAAGUUGGAGUUGCUAGUAAACGCAGGUCAGCCAUACUGCGUUGAAUACGUUCCCGGGCUU